AUUUCACACAAACCCAUAUUUAUUAAAAAUAGUUGUUCCUUCCUGUUAUUCCUUCGCUUCUAUUUUUUUUCCUUUGAUUUCCUUCUUCCUUUGUUUUCUCUUUUAUUCCUUCUCUUUUCUCUUUGAACCGACGUACCUGCUUGAAACUGGCGUCGCAACCACAAACCAACAGGUUUUGAGUUUGAAGAAAUAAGAAGAAGGUGUUUGAUUGAAUUCUGCAAUGAAAAAUUCAUCUCAUGUAACAGAUAAGAUGCGUACGCGUGAGCUUAAGCUAAACGAAACAGAUAAAAAUUUGUCACUACGUAAUCGUAAUCCACAUAUAAUUGAAUGGGAAGAAGAGUGUGAUGGGUAUGUAUAUAUGUUCUUUCUUAAUUAAUUCUAUAUUACUAAUGAUUAACUGUUAUUUCUGCAAAUGGAGUCCUUGAACAUUGAAUUUAGAGAAGUUGGAGAAAAGGUGUACAAUAGGUAGCGACACUAGGUGUUGCGGGUUCUCCUUCUAAGCAUCCUCUUUUUAAGAUGCCUCGGGAUCUUGGUCCAUACACUGACUUAGUAGAGAGUUACAAGAAUGACAAAGUGGUGAGUUGUUAAUUGUUAGGCUUAUGGGAAACAAUGAAAUAUGCGUAAGCACUUAACUAAUGGAAUUUUUUUUACGCUAACUGAUAUGGAUUAUAUUUUGCUCUAAGUUGUUACUUUUUGAGAUUUCAUAAUUGUAGAUAAUGCUGACGCGAAAAACUCAACGCCAAGUCGAAUUCCGCAAAUGAGUGCGGCUCUAUAUCAAGUUUUCUUUGAUUUUCAUUUUUCAUUUGAUUUUUCUUGAGCUUUGCCUAGGAAUGACAUUCAAUUUUUAUUUCGUAAGUAUUUUCUUGUUUGUAGUGGUUGCAUAAUCUAUUAUGCAUCUACAAAAGUUGUUGGAUAAGUUGAUAUGUAGUUAUGAAAAUGGAUGCAUAACAUGUUAUGGAUCUACAAAAGCUAAUGUAUAA